rnacentral:sRNA from 15 species
CCGAAAGCGGACUUUGACGUCUCCUUCUGAAUCAUCCAAAAAGGGAA